UGGCUCAGUUGGUAGAGCAUGGUGUACGCAACGCCAGGGUUGUGGGUUCGAUUCCCAC
rnacentral:tRNA from 1 species